UCGAGAAUUUUUCACAAUGGGCGCAAGCCUGAUGGAGCGACGCCGCGUGGGGGAUGAAUGGCUUCGGCCCGUAAACCCCUGUCAUUCGCGAUCAAACGUUGGUAUUUAAAAGAUGCCAGCCUGAUAGUAGCGGAAGAGGAAGGGACGGCUAACUCUGUGCCAGCAGCCGCGGUAAUACAGAGGUCCCGAGCGUUGUUCGGAUUCACUGGGCGUAAAGGGUGCGUAGGUGGUGAGGUAAGUCGGAUGUGAAAGCUCGGAGCUCAACUCCGAAAUGGCAUUGGAAACUACCUUGCUUGAGGAUUGGAAGGGGGACUGGAAUGCUUGGUGUAGCAGUGAAAUGCGUAGAUAUCAAGCGGAACACCAGUGGCGAAGGCGAGUCCCUGGACAACACCUGACACUGAGGCACGAAAGCUAGGGGAGCAAACA
rnacentral:rRNA from 2 species